rnacentral:rRNA from 1 species
CCUACGGGUGGCAGCAGUGGGGAAUAUUGCACAAUGGGGGAAACCCUGAUGCAGCGACGCCGCGUGAGUGAGGAAGUCUUUCGGUAUGUAAAGCUCUAUCAGCAGGGAAGCAAAUGACGGUACCUGACUAAGAAGCCCCGGCUAACUACGUGCCAGCAUCCGCGGUAAUACGGAGGGGGCCAGCGUUAUCCGGCUUUACUGGGUGUAAAGGGAGCGUAGACGGAAUUGCAAGUCUGAUGUGAAAAUACGGGGCCCAACCCCGGAACUGCAUUGGCAACUGGAUUUCUAGAGUGUCGGAGAGGCAAGUGGAAUGCCUGGUGUAGCGGUGAAAUGCGUAGAUAUCAGGAGGAACACCAGUGGCGAAGGCGGCCUGCUGGACGAUGACUGACGUUGAGGCUCGAAAGCGUGGGGAGCAAACAGGAUUAGAUACCCCUGUAGUC